rnacentral:rRNA from 1 species
GUGGGGAAUCUUCCGCAAUGGACGAAAGUCUGACGGAGCGACGCCGCGUGAGUGAAGAAGGCCUUCGGGUCGUAAAGCUCUGUCAUCAGGGACGAACGGCCGGUGGAGUGGAAAGCCACCGGAUUGACGGUACCUGAGAAGGAAGCCACGGCUAACUACGUGCCAGCAGCCGCGGUAAUACGUAGGUGGCAAGCGUUGUCCGGAAUUAUUUGGCGUAAAGCGCGCGCAGGUGGGAUCUUAAGUCCAUUUUGAAAGUUCGGAGCUCAAAGACGUGAUGGGAUGGAAAGUGGGAUUCUUGAGUACCGGAGAGGAAAGCGGAAUUCCCCGUGUAGCGGUGAAAUGCGUAGAUAUGGGGAGGAACACCAGUGGCGAAGGCGGCUUUCUGGACGGUGUCUGACACUGAGGCGCGAAAGCUAGGGGAGCGAACGGGAUUAGAAACCCGAGUAGUCC